UACGUAGGGGGCUAGCGUUGUCCGGAAUCAUUGGGCGUAAAGAGCGUGUAGGCGGUCCGGUAAGUCCGCUGUGAAAGUCGGGGGCUCAACCCUCGAAUGCCGGUGGAUACUGUCGGGCUAGAGUGCGGAAGAGGCGAGUGGAAUUCCUGGUGUAGCGGUGAAAUGCGCAGAUAUCAGGAGGAACACCGAUGGCGAAGGCAGGUCUCUGGGCCAACUACUGACGCUGAGAAGCGAAGACGUGGGGAGCAAACAGG
rnacentral:rRNA from 1 species